rnacentral:rRNA from 1 species
UGAGGAAUAUUGGUCAAUGGGCGAGAGCCUGAACCAGCCAAGUAGCGUGCAGGAUGACGGCCCUAUGGGUUGUAAACUGCUUUUAUGUGGGGAUAAAGUGCGUGACGUGUCAUGCAUUGCAGGUACCACAUGAAUAAGGACCGGCUAAUUCCGUGCCAGCAGCCGCGGUAAUACGGAAGGUCCGGGCGUUAUCCGGAUUUAUUGGGUUUAAAGGGAGCGUAGGCUGUCUAUUAAGCGUGUUGUGAAAUAUACCGGCUCAACCGGUGGCUUGCAGCGCGAACUGGUCGACUUGAGUAUGCAGGAAGUAGGCGGAAUUCAUGGUGUAGCGGUGAAAUGCGUAGAUAUCAUGACGAACUCCGAUUGCGCAGGCAGCUUACUGUAGCAUAACUGACGCUGAUGCUCGAAAGUGCGGGUAUCAAACAGG